rnacentral:rRNA from 1 species
CCCUUAGAUGUUCUGGGCCGCACGCGCGCUACACUGAUACAUGCAACGAGUUUAUAACCUUGAUCUGACGGUCUGGGUAAUCUUCAAACUGUAUCGUGUUAGGGAUCGAUUCUUGCAAUUUUUAAUCGUAAACGAGGAAUUCCUAGUAAACGCAAGUCAUCAGCUUGUAUUGAUUACGUCCCUGCCCUUUGUACACACCGCCCGUCGACUCUACCGAUUGAAUGGUUCGGUGAAAACUUUGGACUGUGGCAUUGUCCUUCAUUGGACUUCGCCGUAGGAAAUUGUUUAAACCUCAUCAUUUAGAGGAAGAAUAAGUCGUAACA